CUACAUUAGAUACCCGGGUAGUCCUAGCCGUAAACGAUACUCGCUAGGUGUCGGCCACGGUGCGACCGUUGUCGGUGCCGUAGGGAAGCCGUGAAGCGAGCCACCUGGGAAGUACGGCCGCAAGGCUGAAACUUAAAGGAAUUGGCGGGGGAGCACCACAACGGGUGGAGCUUGCGGUUUAAUUGGAUUCAACGCCGGAAAUCUUACCGGGACCGACAGCAACAUGAAGGCCAGGCUGAAGACUUUGCCGGAUUAGCUG
rnacentral:rRNA from 1 species